CACAAGCGGUGGAGUAUGUGGUUUAAUUCGAUGCAACGCGAAGAACCUUACCUGGUCUUGACAUCCCGGAGACCCUUAGGAAACUAGGGGGUGCUUCCAUCUGGAAGAAUCUGGAGACAGGUGCUGCAUGGCUGUCGUCAGCUCGUGUCGUGAGACGUUGGGUUAAGUCCCGCAACGAGCGCAACCCUUGCCUUUAGUUGCCAGCAGUUCGGCUGGGCACUCUAAAGGGACUGCCGGUGUUAAACCGGAGGAAGGUGGGGAUGACGUCAAGUCCUCAUGGCCUUUAUGACCAGGGCUACACACGUACUACAAUGGCCGAUACAAAGGGCAGCGACACUGCGAGGUGAAGCCAAUCCCGUAAAAUCGGUCUCAGUCCGGAUUGGAGUCUGCAACUCGACUCCAUGAAGUUGGAAUCGCUAGUAAUCGUGGAUCAGCAUGCCACGGUGAAUACGUUCCCGGGCCUU
rnacentral:rRNA from 1 species